rnacentral:lncRNA from 1 species
GGGCGCGAGACGCUGCGCGGCGGCAGCGGCGGGCGCGAGCGGCAGCUGUCAGGCCACCGAGGUCCAGGCUGCACUUGCCGCCCCGUUGAGGACGAGGAGGCGGCAGGAGCGGUGGCGGUGUCGCCGCGGAACCGGAUUGCCGGCACGGAGGGCUCACCGGCCUGGCCCCCGCGGCCCUCUCCCGCCUCGCUCCCAUUGUGUUGGAAUCAUAAAAAGAGAGAAUAUAACAACAACAAGAAAAAGACUAUAAUUGUGACAAAGACCCAACUGGCAACUGGUGAGUGUGACGGAGCGUAUUCAUCUAUCAAGUCACUUUCAGAGUGUCCUACAUGUGGCCCCUGGAUCAUUUUUUCACGUGGUACUUCAAGCAGCCACUACCUAUUGAUCAGACAGACACCGUUCUACUGAUUGGGAAGCAAAGUCUAAAGAUUAAGAUAGGAAAUUUCCUUUUAUUUUAUGCCAGUUUUUAAUACAUAAAGAGUACUGGGAU